GACUGUCUGACCCACUAAGUAGCCACCCUAAUAAACGACUCCCAUUUACCCCAACCCCUACUCUACCUCCACUUACUGGACAACCUGCUAGGAUUGUGGUUGCUCGCAUGGUAAUCUACCUUGUCGGCGUAGUAAUCACGCCUGCUAUCAUUAUGGAAGCACCCAACACUUUAUAAAGGACUGCCCUCAGCGGCCGAAGAAUGUGGCCAAACCUGUAACCCAGGGUCAUGUGUAUCACCUUGAUGAACUUGGUGCCCAGCCCACUCCUAUCCUUAUCCAAGGUAUUCUUUCUAUCCGUGACACUUCUGCCCGAGCUCUGAUCGACAUAGGUGCUACCCACUCUUUUAUUUAUUGUGCAUUUGCUUGAUCCUCUUAUGUAUUUCAUUCUCAGUGUUUACAACUUUCUGGAAGUCUUUUCGAAAGAACUACUUGGUCUACCUCCCCU
rnacentral:lncRNA from 1 species